rnacentral:lncRNA from 1 species
GGGGGGAGGACCUGCCUCCUGCCUGGAGGAAGGUCCGUCUCAGAGGGCAUUGGGGAGAACAGCCCCUUCUUAGGCUACUCACCUUUGGGGUGGAGGCGGCUCUGGCUCAUUAGGGAGCAGCUGGGUUUGUACCUGACCCAUUUGCCAGAACCCAGCCUGCCCUCCUGGUGGGUCCUGGCUGGCUGUGUGUCUCAGCUCCAGAGCGUGUCUGUUUGGGUCCACACCCCCCUGUAAACAGCCAGCCCGAGGCCUGUCUUCGGAGGCCAGGCCAGGCCCCACCCAGGGUCAGCCACUUUUCCAGAGGCAAACACUUCCCCCAGGAGCCGCCACCCUCCAGGUUUGCCAGUACUUUGAAGGGGUGGUAGCUGAGAGUUACGCCUAAGCCCUGCUCAGUAUCACCUUGUCUGGAAGAGUCCUGCUGGCAACUGAAGGGCUCACGCAAGGACACUGGACCUUGCACCCACUCUGAUGUCUGCCUGGCAUGGAGGUGGGCCCUCAGUGGCUGUCUGUCUGGACUUGUUUGUUUUGAAUGACUGAUCAUUGGGUGAUGAAGAGAAAGGUUCUGGAAAUGAAUGUGACUUCUUCCUGCAAAAUCUCACCGCUGAAGGGUCUGCCCCACAGCCAUGCAUCCAGUCUUCGGGACAGCUCAGAGAAGAAGCAUGAUUGUGUCCACAAUACAGAUGUGAAAACAGAAGCCUGGGAACCAACUCAGCACCACAGCACAGAGGUCCUCUGUCCUUUUCUUUACAUCCCAAGAAGUGCUGUCUCCAACAUGGUAGAGACGGUGACCUGCAAUAGGACACACCUCCAGCUUCACAGCCCUCCCGGCAGAUGGGCAAGACAGAGCCUGCAAUCAGGCUCCAGUGCGGAAGAUCACAUUGUGUAGAAGAUUCCUGGCCCCUUUUAAAACCUCCCACCAGAAUCCUAGAGCCAGAGGGGCAACAAGCAAAGGUGGAAAGUGCUGUGUGCACUAAACUGCAUGCCAAUCAGGUAGCUCAGCUGCAAGCAGCUAGAGCUAAUUCUGAUCAUUAAAGCAGAACAGAAAU